GUGGUGUGUUAAAAAAGGUGCCUGAAUAGUGAAGGGAGAGUGUCCUCUCGGCCCGACAUGUUAGGGGUGGAUCAACCGUUACAAUUGUUCGUUGAGACAACUCUAUCCGUGACGCAAACGUUGGACGUUCAUUUGAAAGUUGGCGUAUAAUCGUCACAGUAGGUCGACCAUGGGCGUGUGCCUCAUUAGCCUAUAAAGACUACGUCAAGAAAACAGGAUAAACACAAGUCCUAGAUCCAGAGUGGAGAAACGACAUUUUUAGGGGCAGAUCUGUCCUGACCCGUUGUAGACUUUAAGUGCUAGCGAAGUCUCCUGACAUCGACUCGAAGAAGUCCAUUAGCGAAGUGUCCUGACGUCGACUCGAAGAAGUCUACAUAGAACACCUGAACUUACCUCUUUCGCGAUAGUUUAGUAGUUACCUUAAACACUACCAAAUAUAAUAGAAGUGGUUUUAGUGUAGCAAGUGAACCUAGAAUUUGGCCGUUUAUAUGACGAUCUACUAUUGUACAACGGCUUUUAACCACUAAAACCAGAUAGUUCCACGAAACCACUUUUCGUUUCGGUCCGAUAAUGUAGUUUUGAUUAACCUUGAUACCCUAUAAACCGUGGUCUUAAAAUAUGCGCGUCUGUCUAGUGUAAGUUCAAUCUGUAAAUAUCAGAACCAUACUAUUAGUAUCUCUAUGAUUGUCCUCUGUCCCCUAUACGACUAUAACUAUUAUAUGAACUCUCCACCUCUUCAUCCAACCUCUUUAGAGUCCCUCUGUUUGUUGACCAUGUUCAUGCUCAUACGCGACUCUAUCGCUAGCUCACGCGACUGAAAUUGGGCCGCUUUGCUGGUCUAUGAGUCGUAUAUUAACUAUCCGAACCGCGUUGUUCUUUACGCCUACUCAAGCGAUGACUUUGACCCCGCUCAUCAUCAAGUAGUCAUCGUUUCAGUCGUCAACACCGGGGACCAGGGUGUUAACCAGGUCUCUUAGGUUACCGAUUACUCAAUUUCUUCAACUGUCUACCUGAUAUACUAUACUGUUUUUUGGUCGCAAAGUCAAACUACGGGCUACUAUCGAGAUUACACGUCGUUCUUUGACUGUAUGUCCUUUGUAGUAGUCUACACCUUCUUAGUGAUUAGUAGCUCUCCUGACUUCUUUCUCUAUUGUACCAUCGAUGAAAUAGACCCUCAUAGAGUGGACUCAAGUGGCAGGAAGGUUAUAUACCGAAACCUCCAUAACCAUUCUGUUGCGACCGGGUUGAUCAAAAGCUACUACGAGUCAAACGUCCAAUGAAAUUCCAAACCCAGAUACACAGGGUUUUAGAACAGGACUUAUUUUAACCGUUGAGAUAUUAUAGUGUCGAUAGUCUCCUCUCGGUACAUCGACUUUCCGUCUACUAUGUAUAAUUUGAGUCUCUCGAUGAACGACCAUUCUUCCAAGAAUAACAGAAUCUACUGCACACCCUCUUCUUAGGUCUAUGUGAUUUAAGAGAGUACCGAUACAAUUCUCAACCACACCUGUCAUACCACUGUCAAUAACAUUGGUGUUCUCUACUUCGUCAACGUUCCCUUUAAACAGUAUGUCAACUUGGUAUGCUCGAUCUCUGAAAUUGUCUAUUUUAGACGACCUUUUAUUAUUUUGUCUUUUGACGGAAAUUGCUAGCUCAACUGUUUUUUGCUAACUUCGUAUAUCCUUCCCUCUAACGUUGGUUUACACCUCCACACCGGAAUCGCCGAGUUAGUGAACCUAUGUGCGACUUCCCCUUCUGCGGACUACUCACCCUCAGUCAUUCUCUGGUAAUAUAGACCUUACAUAGAUAAAACCUCCUUAGUAGCAGUUCUCUAGUACUUCACGAACGCAGGUACGACUAUUCGAUAUCAGUAUACGGACUUACGAACUCCAGUACGAAAUGGAUAACACGUCACAAAGGUUUUCCAGUAUUAUAUCACUUCAUACUAGAUUAAGUGGUUACCUAUCGAGAACCUAAGUGACUCGCCAGAUCCUAUAAACUGAGAUACGUCGAGACGCUCUUUAUACAGCACGUUGAAAACCCCUACAGGAAGGAAGUCAUAAGUUUCUGUGGAUACUCACUAUCUACCACUCUGUUUCUACAAUGUGACAAGUGCUACGUACUGGAUCACGUACUAGAACGUUCUCGUUAGAACCGGCUAGUUCAUUUGUCAUUACCGUCACAAUACCCUUUACCUACGGAGAUACGUAAAGAGUGUCUAACAUCGUUCGGUAACGUCAAUAGGCGCUGAAGAGGACGUUUAUAUUUCCGCAACGUAAAAGAUCUGACACCGUUUAACCUUGAGGUACCACUACGUAAAAGUGAUCCAUGUACGGAGGGACAGAACCUAAAUUCACUUACGGCACAGAACCUAAAUUCACUUACGGAAUAUGCCUUCAACGGUCUUAGACAACCAGUUGACUUUGACAACUCCAAAGAAACACGAGGUUCCUAGGCUCUAGUGUACUAAGGGUUAACAUAGUGGCUCGAGAGUCUUAAUUUAAUAGAGUUGGAAUCUCCGAGAGUAUUAGAGAGUCGUGACGGCCUAAGUUAACCACUAUACUUCCCAGACUACGUAGAACUAGAUAGUCCAACGGUACCUUAUGCACUUGAGGGUUUCAGUAAGCGUCUCGACUUCGUCGACCACGUAGACCUAAAUAGGGUAACGAUAUACAGAUAAAGUUUUCGAAAACCGCCGAAAUGUUUCGAAGUUAUAAACUUAAAUAGUCAAGUCAAAUAAUAACAUCGUUUAUCCUCUCCAGACUGUCUCCAAUAACCAUUAGAUUGGUUUGAGUCCAUAGAUUUAGAUAGUCCCACGUACGUACGAUACCGGGUCAGUUUUCUAGUUCAACUGUAGAACGAACCGAGAGAGUCGUGAGAAAGGUUAGAUCUCGUAGACCUGAAUUGACUCUUAGCUCCCGAAAGAUCAUAUGGUCUUUCAAAACCGUUGGAGUCCUUUGAAGUAUGUAACCUGGAGUAUCCGACGAGGUUGUAUCUCUUCGAAGGACUAUCAUACAAAGUUUAUCAAUUAAACUUCCAAGAUUUACACCUGUUGAAACAAUUUAGGCCCGAGAGGACCAAUUUAGAACGGAACAACGGUGUGAAACACCACGUAGGAAGAUCACUAUUUUCAUCGUCGUUAUAGUGGGACGAAGUCGGAUGUUUAGGACUAUACGACUGCUAUCUAUCUGAACUUCUACACUUCAGACGUCUUCUCCGACUCUCAUAUUUUGACUAGCUCUUUGUUUUUUAAUUUUACGAUCGUAAAGUUACCUGACAUGGACGACAAUCCAAACACCUACUGUUCCUCCACAACCUUUUUGAUCACGGUGGUUCGUCAUGUGUCUAUAACAGAUAUUGACCAAUGUCCUCACAGUGGUAAGGACUAACCAAAUACUCGUAAUCCGUCAUGGAUGGAUUAGAAACAUUCUAUUUAGACACACUAAAAGUAUUCACGUUCUCGAAUGGUGGUGAGCCAGUUGAUGGUUUAGAUGAUCUCGACCCAGAGAUACCGUACCUCUCGAACCUUCUCAAGUUGUGACGUAUAUGGUCACCCCUCCCUCCACGUUUACUCAAUUACAAGGGAUUCGAACUCCGUAACUGGCAUCUCGCUACACGUUUCAACUCCUAUGUUGGUACAGACGGAUCUCUAUAUAGCCAGAACUACUAUUAUCUAACACUAUUACACGAUAAUAGUAACCCUCUCUCGAACAGUGUGUCACGACGAAGGAGGAGUAGAGGUAAUUGACUAAACUGACAAACAUCGUCGUUCCACGGGUACGUAGUCACCUCCAACGAAGUAGUGGAGGGACGGGAGGCAUUCAACUGAUAGCCGGCAACGUCACUAGACUGGUGGAGUUGACUCUAAUAACUUGUGGAGAGGAGAGAGCUUAGUAACAGUGAGCUGGUCGGUCUUGAGGGCUCAACCAACCAACUCGAUUGAAGUGAUGUUCUUGAUUCAAACAGAUGCACGUCUUCGUACUCUGAAACGGUAGCUGCAAAUUCUGACCUUUCUACAGAAUCGGUAGAAAUACAAGAGAGAUGUAGGUAGGUAACUACGAUGCUUACUUCGUUAGGUUCGAAACCGCCGUGUCACCACUGGAUCUCUGGUUCGUGGACGUCCCUCUUUUCUCCGUCAAUGUGCCGUGCCGACUUCUGGUGGUCGGGCAUUCCUCCUUCGUUCCUGUAAUCCUCCGGUUCGGGGUUGGUCAGUCUAGAGCUGUAGGAGCUCAUGCCAUUUCGGAUCACACGUACCUCAGAUACCUGAUACCUCCCGGCACAUCUGAAACCCUUGUACAUGGUAGGAGAUAAGAAUAAUAACAGCCUAAAGAAUGAACCGUAAUUGGACACUUAUAUUAUUUCCGUGUCACCUAUAUAUUCUCUUAGCACAAGCAGGUCUUUUUGUACCUCUCCCCAAAUAUCUACGAUUUCAUUCAUAUACCAUUACUGCUUGUCUACUCUCCUUAUUUAUACCAAUUGUACGUACAUUGAUAUAGUCGACUUUGACUUGCAGUACGAUUCUUUCCUAAACACAUGCACAGUCCAAGUCUCCAAAUCCAGUACCUAGUACAGUCCGUCAUCGUUUGCCGUUGUAGUAUAUACGACUUAUUCCUAAAGACAUCUUUACGUAAAAACGAUGUCUUCCUGUUUGGGCACCCCGUAAAAACAGUUGGUAUUUGAGAUGGACGGUCGUAUAUGAGAUAAUGUAUAAACUAACACCUGACCUUUUCAAAUGUACGUAUAGAGACUGGUAAUUUCUGG
rnacentral:rRNA from 1 species